rnacentral:lncRNA from 1 species
UACAUUAUCAAAAUCAAUUUAUUUUAGCAACUUGAAACUUGUUGAAAAGCAUACUUUAUGGAUUAAAAACAGAGGAGGUCGUAUUUUUGAAGUGUAAAAACAGUCUGGGAUUUCAUUCACCUGGCGUUCGGGUGUGCUUGGGGAUUUCUCUGUCAUUUCUUGAAUGCUGAGAGAGCAGAGCUGAAUCGAUUUCAUGUUUUUCAGACAGACUUUGUGCUUGUGUCACAAUACAGAAAGCUUGUGCAUCUUCAUACUGUGUUAGUGCAGAUGUCCCAUGCUGGAGGACAGCCACCCUGCGCUGCCACGGAGAGGUUCAGGGCUCCACAGCAUGGUAGCAGUGCUGCUUGCCUCCUGUCAGGAGGGGACGGUGUUGCAGGAACUCAUGACACUAAGCAUUCCUAAAAUGCAUAGAGAAGUGGUUUAAUGGAAGUUUAAGCAACGCUUUUGUUUCUGUGAUGGCAGAGCAGCUGUAACAGAACUUAGGAGGAAUUUGGUGAUGACUGUGGAGAAUGACGAUGCCUGAGAUAGUACAGUUGUCCUUAAAGAAGCCUGACCAGGAGAUCCGCAGUGCAGGUCUGAUUUGUGUCAGUAAGUGAAAAUGAUACCACAAGGGACAGUUGGAAGGAUCUUUAAAAAAAAAAACAACACAAAGCCACAGGGGUUUUCUUAAUAGAGGUAAUGUGAAAAAGUUCAGCUUCUGGAUUUAUUCCUUGGAUACCAAGUCAAGAUGGUUGUCUCAAGAAGAUGUCAGGAGAUCUCAACAGCGGUCAGGUACUUUCAGAAGACUGUUCUUGUUUCCACAGGGAUGUUUUUUUGUUUGCUCUAGGUGCUGAGAAUGCUGAUUUGCUCCCUUAGGAGCACUGCAUUUUGAGCAUUCUGAAUUUCUGAACUUUGCAAGACUUCUUUACAGGCUAAAAUUGGGAGCUGCGGUUACCUGGUGCAUCCCUAAGUUCUUGUAAUAACCGAAUCAGUUAUUAAGGCAGGAAAUUCCUGCUUCAGGAACACAGUGAGGAAUUAAAAUUACUGAUGCUUCGUUUACUUCUUAAAUUGUUAUUUGAAAGUUCCGUGGUUCUUUCACUUCCUAUUGGCACAUCUCAUCUAUCUUUAGUUCGGCUGAAAACUGCAGCUAAGUGGGAUGCUGAUUAAGUGGAG